UUAUCCAUCUCUGGAACAGGUUUAUCCAUCUCUGGAACAAGUUUACCCACCUCUGGAACAGGUUUACCCAUCUCUGGAACAAGUUUACCCACCUCUGGAACAGGUUUACCCAUCUCUGGAACAGACACGGUGUAGGUUUAUCCAUCUCUGGAACAGGUUUAUCCAUCUCUGGCACAGGUUUACCCAUCUCUGGAACAAGUUUACCCAUCUCUGGAACAGACACGGUGUAGGUUUAUCCAUCUCUGGAACAGGUUUACCCAUCUCUGGAACAGGUUUACCCAUCUCUGGAACAGGU